UUGAUUGCUACAGAUUUAGUAAAUGACUAGAGAGUAGACCCCUUUGCUUCUCUGUUGCAAUUAUGAGUUAAGACCAUUAUGGAAAUGUGGAUUACAUUUGUUAUUUUCAAGUUGGAAAACUUUACAACUACAAAUUCCUUUGUAAGAUUUAUCAAGCCAGGUGAAGUCUGCGCUUCCUUGUUGCAGUCUAAUGUGCGCAUGGAUUUGUUGCAGUCAUCCAGUGAAAGGUGUGAUUAAAUUGAGCUGUUGCAUGCAGUCUUUGGUGCUGAUGUUGUCCUGGAGUGUGGGAGAGUCCCAUGCUUCAAGUCUUCUGGGAUCAGCUAUAUCUGAGUUGACGCUGGAUCAUGCUGCAUUGUGGUUGCCGAAAUGUUGGACAUCUAGUAGAACUGCAAGAAGACUCCUUGAAAUAGUUUAUGUUUACGAAGCAGUGAUGUUGCUGUCCAAUAUGGCAUAUGUUGUUGCAGCCUAUACUGGUGAAAGAUUUUUUGCAUCGAGUUAUGUUGUUGCUGUUCCUUGGUGCCGGACUGCUGGUGUUGUCCACAAAAGUUAUAUUCAGUUUUAAUUGUUAUUUGUGUCUAUGCAGUUAACCGUUUAUAUGUUGAAAAAGGAACAGAAAAGUUCCUUGGUGUUGAAUCGCUGGUGUUGUGCUACAUAAGUUACAUCCAGUAUUUUGUUUAAUUGCUAUUUGCGUCUAUGAAGUUAACCGUUUUUAUGUUGAGAAUGACAAAAAAUAGUAAUACGGGAACUUUUACGUUGAACAAAUAAUAAACAUAUCUUCGCGAUUGGGUAACCAGCGAGGAGGAGAUUGGGGGGGGGGGAGCAAUUGAUUUUCAUUACCAAGAAGAAGUCGUGGUUUGUUUUAAUAAGGUAGAAAUAAAAUCCUUUGUCUAUCACAUUCAUAUACCUACCUGUAUAACCAUAUCUAUUUCUCAAACCUCAUAACAUCCACCAACAUCCUUUCCUUAAACCCCAUAACUUCCACAAACAUCUAUUCCUUAAACCCACAUUUCCCCACAAAUAUCUGUAAUAUGUAAAGAUUAUUUUUUGAUAAAUAA